UAAGGAAUAUUGGACAAUGGUCGCAAGACUGAUCCAGCCAUGCCGCGUGAAGGAUGAAGGCCCUAUGGGUUGUAAACUUCUUUUGUAUGGGAAAAAACCCCUCUACGUGUAGAGGGCUGAUUGUACCAUAAGAAUAAGGAUCGGCUAACUCCGUGCCAGCAGCCGCGGUAAUACGGAGGAUCCAAGCGUUAUCCGGAUUCAUUGGGUUUAAAGGGUGCGUAGGCGGAACGAUAAGUCAGUGGUGAAAGCCUGCAGCUUAACUGCAGAACUGCCAUUGAUACUGUCGAUCUUGAGUACAUUUGAUGAGGGCGGAAUGUGUCAUGUAGCGGUGAAAUGCUUAGAUAUGACACAGAACACCGAUUGCGAAGGCAGCUCUCAAAACUGUAACUGACGCUGAGGCACGAAAGCGUGGGUAUCAAACAGG
rnacentral:rRNA from 1 species